rnacentral:rRNA from 1 species
GGUUACCUACGGGAGGCAGCAGUCGAGAAUCAUUCACAAUGGGGGAAACCCUGAUGGUGCGACGCCGCGUGGGGGAAUGAAGGUCUUCGGAUUGUAAACCCCUGUCAUGUGGGAGCAAAUUAAAAAGAUAGUACCACAAGAGGAAGAGACGGCUAACUCUGUGCCAGCAGCCGCGGUAAUACAGAGGUCUCAAGCGUUGUUCGGAAUCACUGGGCGUAAAGCGUGCGUAGGCUGUUUCGUAAGUCGUGUGUGAAAGGCGCGGGCUCAACCCGGUACAGGCUCUGGAAACUGGCGGGCUAGAGAGG